UACGUAGGGUGCAAGCGUUGUCCGGAAUUAUUGGGCGUAAAGAGCUCGUAGGCGGUCUGUCGCGUCGGCUGUGAAAUCCCGAGGCUCAACCUCGGGUCUGCAGUCGAUACGGGCAAACUAGAGUAUUGCAGGGGAGACUGGAAUUCCUGGUGUAGCGGUGAAAUGCGCAGAUAUCAGGAGGAACACCGGUGGCAAAGGCGGGUCUCUGGGCAAUAACUGACGCUGAGGAGCGAAAGCGUGGGGAGCGAACAGG
rnacentral:rRNA from 1 species